CCUACGGGUGGCAGCAGUGGGGAAUUUUGCGCAAUGGGCGAAAGCCUGACGCAGUAACGCCGCGUGGAGGACGAAGGCCUUCGGGUUGUAAACUCCUGUCAGGGGGAACGACGCGCCUGCGGGCGCAGACGGUACCCCCAAAGGAAGCCCCGGCUAAUUCCGUGCCAGCAGCCGCGGUAAUACGGAAGGGGCAAGCGUUGUUCGGAAUCAUUGGGCGUAAAGGGCGCGUAGGCGGUCGCGUAUGUCUGCUGUAAAAGCCCACGGCUCAACCGUGGAGGGUCGGUAGAAACUGCGCGACUUGAGGCUGGGAGAGGCUGGUGGAAUUCCCUGUGUAGCGGUGAAAUGCGUAGAUAUAGGGGAGAACACUCGUGGCGAAGGCGGCCAGCUGGACCAGUCCUGACGCUGAGGCGCGACAGCGUGGGGAGCAAACAGGAUUAG
rnacentral:rRNA from 1 species